ACGACUCUCGRCAACGGAUAUCUCGGCUCUCGCAUCGAUGAAGAACGUAGCGAAAUGCGAUACUUGGUGUGAAUUGCAGAAUCCCGUGAACCAUCGAGUCUUUGAACGCAAGUUGCGCCCCAAGCCUUUGGCCGAGGGCACGUCUGCCUGGGUGUCACAAAUCGUCGUCCCCCCCAAUCCUUUUGGAUAA
rnacentral:rRNA from 1 species